rnacentral:rRNA from 1 species
GAUGAACGCUGGCUACAGGCUUAACACAUGCAAGUCGAGGGACCGGCGCACGGGGGCGUAACACGUAUCCCACCUUCUCUUUACUCGGGGAUAGCCUUUCGAAAGAGAGUUUAAUACAUGCUAGAAAGGAUGGGGAUGCGUUCAAUUAGGUUGUUGGUGAGGUAACGGCCAACCAAGCGUUCGAUGGAUAGGGGUUCGGAGAGGAAGGUCCCCCACGUUGGAACUGAGACACGGUCCAAACUCCUACGGGAGGCAGCAGUGAGGAAUAUUGGGCAAUGGGCGGUAGCCUGAACCAGCCAAGUAGCGGGAAGGAUGAAGGCUUAUGGGUCGUAAACUUCUUUUAUAUAAGAAUAUGUAUUAUAUGAAUAAGGAUCGGCUAACUCCGUGCCAGCAGCCGCGGUAAUUC